GGCUUAAUAGCUCAGUUGGCAAAACAUGAGACACCUAAUCUCAGGCUCAUGGGUUCAAGCCCCAUGUUGGGUGA